UAGAGUUUGAUCCUGGCUCAGGAUGAACGCUAGCGACAGGCUUAACACAUGCAAGUCGAGGGGCAGCGGUGGUGAAGGCUUGCCUUUACCAGCCGGCGACCGGCGCACGGGUGAGUAACACGUAUGCAACCUGCCUGCCACAGCCGGAUAAUCGGGAGAAAUUCCGUCUAAUACGGCAUAAUGCACCUAUGGGACAUCCUGUUGGUGCCAAAGGUUGAUUCCGGUGGCGGAUGGGCAUGCGUCGCAUUAGUUAGUUGGCGGUGUAACGGACCACCAAGACGACGAUGCGUAGGGGUUCUGAGAGGAAGGUCCCCCACACUGGUACUGAGACACGGACCAGACUCCUACGGGAGGCAGCAGUGAGGAAUAUUGGUCAAUGGGCGGGAGCCUGAACCAGCCAAGUCGCGUGAGGGAUGACGGCCCUAUGGGUUGUAAACCUCUUUUGCCGGGGAGCAAAGUGCCGCACGUGUGCGGUUUGGAGAGUACCCGGAGAAAAAGCAUCGGCUAACUCCGUGCCAGCAGCCGCGGUAAUACGGAGGAUGCGAGCGUUAUCCGGAUUUAUUGGGUUUAAAGGGUGCGUAGGCGGACGCUUAAGUCAGCGGUAAAAUUGCGGGGCUCAACCUCGUCGAGCCGUUGAAACUGGGUGCCUUGAGUGGGCGAGAAGUACGCGGAAUGCGUGGUGUAGCGGUGAAAUGCAUAGAUAUCACGCAGAACUCCGAUUGCGAAGGCAGCGUACCGGCGCCCAACUGACGCUGAAGCACGAAGGCGUGGGUAUCGAACAGGAUUAGAUACCCUGGUAGUCCACGCAGUAAACGAUGAAUGCUAGUUGUCCGGGGCGAUUGAGUUCUGGGUGACACAGCGAAAGCGUUAAGCAUUCCACCUGGGGAGUACGCCGGCAACGGUGAAACUCAAAGGAAUUGACGGGGGCCCGCACAAGCGGAGGAACAUGUGGUUUAAUUCGAUGAUACGCGAGGAACCUUACCCGGGCUCAAACGCAGGAGGGAUGUUUUUGAAAGGAGGCAGCCAGCAAUGGUCUCCUGCGAGGUGCUGCAUGGUUGUCGUCAGCUCGUGCCGUGAGGUGUCGGCUUAAGUGCCAUAACGAGCGCAACCCCUACCUACAGUUGCCAUCGCGUGAUGGCGGGCACUCUGUGGGGACUGCCUGCGCAAGCAGUGAGGAAGGCGGGGAUGACGUCAAAUCAGCACGGCCCUUACGUCCGGGGCGACACACGUGUUACAAUGGCAGGUACAGCGGGAAGCCACCCGGCGACGGGGCGCGGAACCCGAAAACCUGUCUCAGUUCGGAUUGGAGUCUGCAACCCGACUCCAUGAAGCUGGAUUCGCUAGUAAUCGCGCAUCAGCCACGGCGCGGUGAAUACGUUCCCGGGCCUUGCACACACCGCCCGUCAAG
rnacentral:rRNA from 1 species